UUCAAGUCCCUCUAUCCCUA
rnacentral:tRNA from 1 species